UGACAUGAAUAUCUAUUUAUAUGUGGGGAGAUUCUUAGAGGUGAGGCAGGCACCUCCCAUGUACCAGGAUUAAGAGGCUGCAGCAGAUCCAUCAAUAUUGCCACUUAUCCACACCCACACACACACACGCGAGUGCGCGUGCACACAGAGUCCUGGUUUCCACCACUUCAGUGAUGGCAGUGGCAAAGCAGGAAAAGAAACUAAAAGGGUGUUAUUAACAAGUUCCGACACCAGCCCGGCCUCCACACCAGAGUUCUGGGCGAACCAGUGAUUU
rnacentral:lncRNA from 1 species